rnacentral:hammerhead_ribozyme from 1 species
AUCCAGCUGACGAGUCCCGAAUUAGACGAGACGCGUGUUCUGGAU